CCUGGGGAAGCACACACAUGCCAGGUUGGUGACACUGCACACAGCGCCACCGGCCAGCUGCAGUCUUUCAUACAGUGGUCUUGCUUAGGCCAGGCAACACCUUGCUUCAGGAGAUGGUCUGCAUCUUGGGGCCCAUGUGCCAGUUUUAGACACUUUGGAACAUUUUCACAGGCCACAGGGGACCAGGCUAUGCUAGGCAGCUGUCACCCUUCUGAGCUGGGCCAGAGGACAGGACCCAAGCAGCUGGCAGGCUUACUCAGCAUCCACUCUGUGCCCACGCUGCCUAGGACCCCCAGACUCCUACGUGAGGAGGCUCAGAAAACUGGGAGCAAAAUCCCAAGGCCUUUGCGCUCGAACACAAGGACUCCAGGGAAACGUGUCAAUGCUGCAGGCUGAGUGCUCAGCCCACGGCAGCUCCUGCUGUCCACCCAGCAAAGGGAAAAGGGAAAACGCUAAGUAGGCUGGGUCGUCAGCAUGCCUGUGCAAGAAUGUUAGUGGCUUAGCGGUUUCGAAUUUAAGACACAAAACUGUGCCUCUCCUCACCAGCACACGUAGGGAAGGUAUUGCUAAAGGGUACAAACACUCAAAACCUUCCACCGUGGGCCCCCAAGUUCGGAGCAAUCUGUGGGGUGGAGCAGGAACCAGGAGGCCCAGCUGCCAGGAAGGCCUGGGGACUGCGGUUCAGGUGGAGCUCGGUGAAGACAUCACACUCACCCACUUCACUGGAAGAUUAUUUUUAAGUGACCAAAAUGGGACUUUUUAAUUCUUUUUAAAUUGUGCCCUGACCCCACCGCAACAUACAGUUUCUGGUUGGCAAUUCUGCAUAAGCCAAUUUAAAAUUUUUCCGCAUCAAAAAAGCAGCAUAAUGACCAUCUCUUCAAACAAGCCGUUACAAAAUGUAGUCACAGUAGCUAGCAAUGAAAAAGCACAGACACAAACAGUUAAACAUUAGUGAUGGAAUCUUACAUACACAGAGCUAUUUCUACAUGAAUGUUUCAGCCAGAAAAGAAAAAAGGAGAAAAAAAAAUAUGGUGUAAGGUGAGGGUGGUGGGCGGCCCAGGUGGACUGAUACCCAUUUCAUCCCGGCAUCUCUCCUCGGGGACACUCAUCUUUAGCACUUCAAGGACACACUCAUUCCUACGGUUUUGGAAAAGGAGCCAAUUAAUGAUUGGUAACGUGUGGACAUUCCGGGCAAGGAGAGUGCAUGUCAACUGGCCAGGACACGCAGACUCUAGGAGCUAUGGAGACGCGAGGGGGCACCCACGGGUCGCUUUCCCUCCGGGCCGAGGGAAAGCGGUGCCCUGGGUGGGUGGGCGCGGAGCAGAUGCAAGCACGCCGGCCCGCCGGCCAUGGAGCCCCCGAUGCGCACUAGCCACAUGAAAGCCCAUGCGAUGGAGAGCGGACAAGGGGUAAAAAACCCGAUAAUUACGACUGCUGUGCUCUUUGCCUAGACAGAGACGCUUCAGGGCAGACCCUGCAAGGGAAGAAGAAACGACACAAGACCACAGGGUUAGGCAGGACAGCACACACGGGGGACAGGCCACCACACUAAGCACAAGUCAUCAGUGUGCAAGGAGGAGCAGAGGCCAGCGAUUCAGAGAGGGGACUGGCCACCUGGGCUAACCGGGUGACCGCGAGUCAGUGUGCGGGCUCACGUGAACUUCGCCGAGGGGCUCAGGUGCAGGACCAGGCCCCAAGCUUCAGGUAGAAGUGAGUGUGUCUUUCAAAGCGUAUUCAAAAAAAAAAAAAGAAAACAAAAAACAAAAAAAGCAAAGCAUACCACUUGGUUUUUAAACAAAAGGCUUCUGCAGCCCCACUGCAGAUCGAGGCAGAAAACCCACUACAAGUCAGCCAGGAGAGCUCAGUGGAGCCGCCGGCUUUGCCUGGAAGCUAGGCCCAUGGGAGGUUUGUUUUCCAAGUGCAAAAAGAUACAUUGUUUUGCAGGUUUGAGGCCAAGCCCAGAUCCCAGGCGGCUUCCCUGACCAGACCAGUGGUGGACACAGAGGGCACCUAUCUACAGAGGUGGGAAUCAGGGCUGGACCCAAGUUUCUGCAACGCUGCUGCCUCACCUGGUAGCCCACGUCCACCAGAACGGGGUCAGGCCAGAUGAGCCCACAGCUGCAGCCCUCCCCCUGCUGCUGACCUGGACUCCAGGACCAGGCCCCCAGAGCGGGCCCCACCCUCAGGGUCUUCCCACAGCCCUGCGCCUCAGACCUCCUCUCUGCCACCUCUCAGCCCUCAGGGCUGCGACCAGACUUUUUCCUCCAGACUUUCACAGGUGCCUGUGGUCUCCUCAGGCCUCCGAGCUCCCUAGUAACCCAGGAACCAGCCAGCUCCAGCUCCAGGAGUAGGCUGGCAGGCUGGGCGGACACCAGGGCACUGGGCAUGGAAGGACACACCUUCACAUGCCCCCAGGGCCAGGGCCUGUGGGGGCCACACCGUGGCCAGGACAGCAAAGAGCUCAGCCAAGGCGUGCCUGCAGAGGGCUGUUGUGAAAACAGCAAGGCCACUGGGCCCAACCACCUAAAAUCAGGUCCACCCAGGCCAGGAAGCACCCGUGUGCCACCAAGCCAUGCCUCACAUGUCCCUUUCCUCUUAGCCACAGAGACAGAAACAAAAGCUAGACCAUUUGUCCUUGCUGUGCCUCCCAUUUUUUUUUUUAUCUUGGAAUAACAACAGUAAAACAAAUGAAAACUCUUAAAAAUGAAUGCAGGACCAUGUGGGCACAAACCUUGAAGGAGCAUGUGGCACUUGAUCACUCACACCAGGGGACCCCAGGGAAAGCACCACCUGCUCUAACCUGCUUCCUGUGUCCGACCCACAUGUUCCCAGCAGGCCGCGGGUCAGUCAUGUGACCGGGAGAUGCCUGGGGACCCAUGUGCCCUGAUGCCAUGGUCUCAGGAGACAGCCACGCACACUGGGACAGAAAAGAGCCAGCAAGUGAUGCAGGGAGCAGGAUGCACUCAGACCUUGCCCACCCCUGCCCACCACCAGCUCAAAACCAACCAGCAGCUCAGGUGGGGCACCUGUUACUAAACAGUCCCUGGGAAUCUCUAGGAGGUUCUGUGCCUCUACCCUGUCCUGCCUGGGGGAGGGUGACAUGGCCCCUCUGAUGGGGACAAAUGCCCACUGUGGACGUGGCCUCAGGUCCUGACAAACACAAUGUAUCUUUAUUGUACCAGCAAAAAGCCACGUGCCCCAAACCAGCAUUUCCACCAUUUCCAUUUGAUAGGAAGCUUAAUUUUUGUGUUCAGAAACAAAAACCUGAAAACCCCACA